AUUGAACGCUGGCGGCAUGCCUUACACAUGCAAGUCGAACGGUAACAGGUCUUCGGAUGCUGACGAGUGGCGAACGGGUGAGUAAUACAUCGGAACGUGCCCGAGAGUGGGGGAUAACGAAGCGAAAGCUUUGCUAAUACCGCAUACGAUCUCAGGAUGAAAGCAGGGGACCGCAAGGCCUUGCGCUCACGGAGUGGCCGAUGGCAGAUUAGGUAGUUGGUGGGAUAAAAGCUUACCAAGCCGACGAUCUGUAGCUGGUCUGAGAGGACGACCAGCCACACUGGGACUGAGACACGGCCCAGACUCCUACGGGAGGCAGCAGUGGGGAAUUUGGACAAUGGGCGCAAGCCUGAUCCAGCCAUGCCGCGUGCAGGAUGAAGGCCUCGGUUGUAAAC
rnacentral:rRNA from 1 species